rnacentral:rRNA from 1 species
CCCUUAGAUGUUCUGGACCGCACGCGCGCUACACUGUUCGACGCAGCGAGUCUUAACCUUGACCGAAAGGUUUGGGUAAUCUUCAGCAAAGUCGAACGUGAUGGGGAUCGAUCAUUGCAAUUAUUGAUCGUGAACGAGGAAUUCCUAGUAAGUGCAAGUCAUCAGCUUGCGCUGAUUACGUCCCUGCCCUUUGUACACACCGCCCGUCGCUACUACCGAUUGAAUGGUUUAGUGAGAUCUCUGGAUUGACGCUGGCUAGGGGGCGACCCUUGGCCAGACUGCUCGAGAAACUGCUCAAACUUGAUCAUUUAGAGGAAGUAAAAGUCGUAACA